UCGCCUGUUUUAUCAAAAACAUCGCCUCUUGAUCAAAAAUAAGAGGUCCAGCCUGCCCAGUGACAUAGUUCAACGGCCGCGGUAUUCUAACCGUGCGAAGGUAGCGUAAUCACUUGUUCUUUAAAUAAGGACUAGUAUGAAUGGCACCACGAGGGUUACACUGUCUCCUUUUUUUAAUCAGUGAAACUAAUCUUCCCGUGAAGAAGCGGGAAUUUUUAUAUAAGACGAGAAGACCCUAUGGAGCUUUAAAUAAAUUAACACUUGCCACAUAAUAUUAAAUAACAAAGUAUAGCAAUAUGAUUAAUAAUUUUCGAUUGGGGUGAUCACGGAGUAAAAAACAACCUCCAUGCCGAAAGGGCCUGUCCCUGAGCAAAAAACUACGACUUUAAGCACUAAAAAAUUAACGUCCAUUGACCCAAUAACUUGAUCAACGAACCAAGUUACCCUAGGGAUAACAGCGCAAUCCACUUCAAGAGCCCCUAUCGACAAGUGGGUUUACGACCUCGAUGUUGGAUCAGGGUAUCCCAGUGGUGCAGCCGCUACUGAAGGUUCGUUUGUUCAACGAUUAAAACCCUACGUGAUCUGAGUUCA
rnacentral:rRNA from 1 species